rnacentral:lncRNA from 1 species
AGAACAGUCCAAAAACAGAUGCUAAAGCCCCCUACACAGAGCCUCAGUGCUUCGAUCUGAUAGACAACAGAAGCUAUUUUAUUGUUAGCACUGGAUAUAACUGUAAAACUGAAAAAGAGGCCAAGAUAUGGUGAUAUAGACUGUAUUCCAUCCACUUGGAAGACUGAGGCUGGAAGAUUCUGAGGGCAAGGCAAAAAUAAACUACACAGUGAGACCCAGACUCAGAAAAGCCAAGGAAGAACAAAACAAAAAAGCUGAAGGAAGAUCAGGUCUGUGUUCCACCUGUGUGCCUGAAGAAGUGUGACGAGACUGUUGGAUACCCUGGGACUUGUGAGCCACCAUGGCCUGAAUUUAGAGGGGGGAUGCCCAUCCCCCACUUUGCCAGGAUCUCAUCAGGAAGACAAGCUCAGCUGCUCAGCGGUUUUGGCUUCUUGCAGGAAGCUGCAGAUGGGGCACACAGUAGACUUCACCUAGGUCAGAAGACUCCACCCUAGCUCCUAGGGUCUGAAACUGGAUGACCAUCUCUCACCCUCCCUGCCCCACUUCAAGCCAAGCUGGGGAAGUUGUAACUGGAAGAUCAUUGGAAGCAACAGGUUUACGUCUGAGCAAGAAGGGUCUGCAUCUCCCACGGCCAACCCAAUGCCAGGCACAGCCAGCUGCCAAUGCUUGAUGAACGGAAGUGUGAAUGAAGACAUGUCUAGUCUCCCCUCCCCCAGCCUGAAACCUGCUUACUCAGGGGUGGAGCUUGCCGCUCAAUCGUUCUGCCACGCCCACUGCUGGAGCUUGCCGCUUUGCUGUUUCGAAGCCAUCACGUGUUCACCUGCAACCUUACUCCUAGAUUAUUUGGCGGGAAUCGGCCCCUCCCCCUUCCUUCAUAACGGAGUGCUGGAAUAGUAAAAAUUGAACCUUGAGC